GCAAGUCGAACGGAAACAUGUCUAGCUUGCUAGAUGAUGUCGAGUGGCGGACGGGUGAGUAAUGCCUGGGAAUUUGCCUUUGCGAGGGGGAUAACCAUUGGAAACGAUGGCUAAUACCGCAUAACGUCUACGGACCAAAGGGGGGACUUGUUCCUCUCACGUGAAGAGAAGCCCAGGUGAGAUUAGCUAGUUGGUGAGGUAAAGGCUCACCAAGGCGACGAUCAGUAGCUGGUUUGAGAGGACGACC
rnacentral:rRNA from 1 species